rnacentral:misc_RNA from 1 species
GUAUUGAAUUGUAACUCCAAAUCAAUAAGCUAGUUUAUCAGCCAAGAACUUUUUCUUAUUUGCAUUUGCAUUUGCACUUGCAAGCCCCUCUUCCCUCUUUUUGCUUUGCUAGUCACGUAUGUUUGUUUGUUCAGAAAAGACAAGGAAAGAAAAGAGACAGAAACAGAAACAGAGACAAAGACAGAAUCUCUAUCCCUUAUAUCCCCCUCCCCUCCCUUCCCCCUCCUCAUCUCCUCUGAGGUUAUAAAGUAUUUCUUUGAUGAUCCCUCCGCAGGUUCACCUACGGAGA